rnacentral:lncRNA from 13 species
AACAGACUCACUCUCUGUGUGCUGUUGCUCGCCGGCACCGAUUUCAGUUCGUGUUAUUGUGAACGAGAGAGAGAGAGAGAUAAACCGGAGUAUACGUGUGCCAUAUUGGGAAACCGGAGUAUACGUGUGCCAUAUUGGGAAACCGGAGUAUACGUGUGCCAUAUUGGGAAACCGGAGUAUACGUGUGCCAUAUUGAGAAACCGGAGCACGUGGCGGUGUCGAGUCGGUGCCGAGUUUGGUUCGUGUUACUGUGAACGAGAAAGAGAGAGAGAGAGAGAGAGAGACAAAUCGGAGUAAAAUAACAAACGUGUGUAUUGGGAAACCGGAGCACGUGACGGUGUCGAGUCGGUGCCGAGUUAACUAUAAAUGGUGUGUACUUUCUGUAAUACAAUUCAUUUUAAUUUUAAUUAAGGGCGUGUUAUUUCAUACUUAAAAUAAUAAAG